GUGACAGGGCUGGGAGCUGCCCGUUCAAGGCUCCCAAACCCAUUAUAAAGGAGGUUCCCUUUUAAUAAUUUUCACCCUAGCAUCCACUUCCCAGGAUACUGUUCUGGGGGAAGCCUUACUGUCUCGAGGCCCAUCAGUCUGUUUGCCCACUCCCCCCUACCCUCGUGGGGGAGUCCUCAGAUUGCAGGCACACCAGCAGGGAGCCCUGAAUUCCUGCCCUCCCAGCUUUUCCUGCAGCCCACAGAGGGGGACAGACAAUGCCCCAGCAAAGAGCACCCAGGCACCUUCAGCCUUCAGCCAACAUGAAGGGACAGAAAGGAAAGGACAAUUUCGUGCAAGGUCUUUAACCAUACCCCACCCCUUACCGGUGGUUGAGUGCCCGAAUUUCUGUUCAGAGGACGCCAUUCCUCCCCCACGCAGCCCACGGACUUCCCAGCAGCUGGCCCUUGCUCGGAAGGUUCCGAAGGGUCUAAGAUUGACGAAGAUCAGCUACACCAAUCAGCACCCAGCUCUCCCUGGACACUGGACUUUCUGUAGGAAUGGCACAUGACCCAGGUCAGACCCCUGGUGGGCGAGCAGUGCCUUGUUGAGGAAUGGAGGAAAAGAUGUUCCUGACCUUAAGGACAGAGCUCCUGAAGACCCCGUCUCUCCUGGUCCGGAUAUUGUGGUGGUAGAUGUGCACCAGUGACAGCUGUUUCAAUUCUGUCCCCACAAGGGAAGUCAGCCAGAGGCAACUGUGGAGAAGUGGGACCAGAGUUCCUGGAUCAAGUCAAUCCUGAGGCCCACCUACCUCUGGAAUCCAGGUCCAAGAGCCAAGGAAGACCUUUUCGUUUGCGCUACUUAGAUUUGAGUUUGUUGUUGUUUAUAAUAUCUCCAAGGCCCUAAAUCAUCAGUGUUUGUGAUAUCACUGAAAUAAACAGGUUUAGAAUGGUGACAGGAUCUUGCUCCAGACGGCACAGUGUUUGGAUUGGUUCUGACUUAAGUGGCAGAAUCGUCGGGGAGGCCCUCACCGCUCACCUGCCCAAUGGUCUGGCUGCCAUGCUUCGGGAAUUCCGGAGAGCCUCUGGCUUACCUGACCCCUUGUCAGAGCUGGAAAGAAAAGUGACACCUCUCGACUCUACUCCAGACAAGACUCAGGGAGAAAAGGCUAUCCCCCCAUAUGUCAGGGAAACCCCUUAGAAUUGAACCCACUGAGAAAAGAACGGAGAUUUGUGCUACAUGGGUGCUCCCUGGGUGCCCAGUUCUCCGCCCAAGGCGGUGGGUAGAAAAUCAUACAGACCAGAGUCAGCGUUCCAUUUAUGAAUAAUUGACCACAUUGUCCAUAUAGGCUCCUGAGGAAGAGCUCAGACCAAGAGUCCCAUCUUGCAGCAAGGAAGGUGUGACACUAAACCCUAGGCCGUAGGAUCCGCUUUUUCUGCCACUAACUACAUCUCCGGGAAGCUGCAGCUGAUAGAAUGACCCAUCCAAGCCUUGGUGUGGGACCGUCCACUGUGUUUCCCUUUUCCCAGGAUACAGUAUGUGCCCUGAACCGACAGGCAGCGCAUGGGGCCGGAGACCGA